CUUCCUAACAUACAGAGAUUGGCAACAAGUUCAUCAUUCAUUUUACUUAUGGAUGCGAUUAUGAUAUGAAGGGUAAGUUAACCUAUAGAAAGAUUGGAGAAUGGAGAUUUGACAAAAGAUCCUAUACUAAUGCCU